rnacentral:rRNA from 1 species
UACAGAGGGUGCGAGCGUUAAUCGGAAUUACUGGGCGUAAAGCGCGUGUAGGCGGCUCUUCAAGUCAGGCGUGAAAGCCCCGGGCUCAACCCGGGAACUGCGCUUGAUACUGUCGAGCUAGAGUGUGGAAGGGGCGAUUGGAAUUCCGUGUGUAGCGGUGAAAUGCGUAGAUAUACGGAGGAACACCAGAGGCGAAGGCGGAUCGCUGGGCCAACACUGACGCUGAGACGCGAAGGCUAGGGUAGCAAACGGG